rnacentral:lncRNA from 1 species
UAAUCAUUUUUGAUUUUGUAUCCCUUUUUUCUCCAUGUGAAAAGACACAAUUGCCCCUGUGGCUAAUUUACAAUUUGACACUGUACAAAUCUUUUUUCUUUACAAGCCUGUAUCCAACCGAAGCAACUAAUUAACAGGGAACAAAUCACAUUACUUUCUUUACAUGGCUUUACCCAACGGAACCAACUACUAACAAAUCAUAGAUUGAUUUUUUGUGUCGUGGUGUUCAUGGCUAGUGGAGAGGCGGAUCCACCGCCGGCCCCCAAGCCAUCAACUCCGACGACCCCUGCACACCGAGGCUUCACACAGAUGACAACUGAGACGAUCCCACAGACUGCCGGACAGGGAGGCGACUGUUGCGUCCAUGGAUCACCACGAUCUGCUCCAGAUUGGUCAGUAUAUUAUCUCCCCUUCCUCCCACCCCACGCCAAACACACACAGUGCCACACGGAUCCAGGGUUUGAACCUCUUGGCAUCUCCUCGCUAGGCAGCCCCUAACGCUGCUACACUUGUAGUAACCCUGCAACUGCAACAAUAUGAUGGAGACAUAAUUAUCAGGAUUCAGGAGUAUAAAGUUCUGAAAUUAUCCAAAUCUUUAAACCAUGUGGAUGAAUACUUCUACGAGGAUCAUGAAUCCAAUGACAUGGGCAUACACUUAGUUUUACUGGAAAAUGAAUAUUAAACAAUUUGUUACUUGUUUCCUAACAUACCAAAAUGACAGUUAGAUGAUGCCCUUAUGUCCCCUCCAUAACUGAAAAUCUUUUGUUCUCCAUGUAGGUCUCGGCCGGUGGCUAGCAAUGAUACAUAUGUAUCAACUAUGGAAGGAAGUGUUGAUUGGUCCAAGAUUGAGAUAGCACCAAUGAAUGAUGAAGAAAUUGAUGUUCCUAUAACAGAAGAGAACAUGUGCUCGGUGCUUGGCAUCAAUGAUGAACCUGAGCAUCGGAAAAUUGUAUCUGAAGCAGCUAUGAAAACCUGCAUUGCAGAUGUUGAUGCAUGUGUGGCUGAUAUUGAUGAGGAUUUACUUGCUGAUGCGGCUCUUCCUGUGCCUGACCAUAUGCCUGAAGAGGAUCACUUUUGGUAUGAUAAGGAACAUCCUGUGAUAGAGGAAGGAUCUUUGUUUCGUUCAAUGAACGAGUUUAGGAUGCUCAUGAGAACAUUUGCUAUUAGAGGCAAGUUUGACAUCAAGACCAAGGAUAGUGACACUACUAGAUUUGUGGGUCACUGUAAAGGAAAUGCAUGUCCUUGGAGAAUAACUGCUAGGACAAUAGAAGAUGGAAAAACAGUCAGGGUACAAACUUAUCUAACAUGAAUCAUCUUUUAUGUUAAAACUAUCUUUUAUAAAUUACUUGCAACAAAUGGUUGGUAUUGUGUUUUCUGCAGGUAAACAAGAUAGUAAAGCCUCAUAAGUGUUCAUCAACCACUGCAGUGAUUACAAGCAUGGCAGACCAAGCAUGGGUGGCAGAAAAGGCAAUGGGGUAUCUUCAAACUGAACCAAACAUUGGUGCCAGCGAGCUCCGAAAAAAGCUAUAGGCCGAAUACAAAUGUACUAUUAGGUAUCAUACUGUUGACAAGGGAAAAGAAAGGUCCAAGAAUAGUUUAUAUGGGACCUGGGGAAAAAGCUUUCAGUCAUUAUUGAAUUUCAAAGCUGAGAUUGAUAAAAGAUCUCCUGGUAGCAUUGUCGAGGUUGAUGUCAAGAGGGAAGGAGGUGAAGUGCAUUUCCGCAGAUUUUUUAUGGCACUUAAGCCGUGCAUUGAUGGCUUCUUGGCUGGUUGUAGACCAUAUGUCAGUAUAGACUCCACAUUUUUGACUGGAAAGUGGAAUGGUCAAUUAGCAGCAUGUACAGCACUAGAUGGACAAAAUUGGAUGUUUCCUUUAGCAUUUGGUUUCUUUGGUACGGAGACCGAGGGUAACUGGAUUUGGUUUAUGCAACAACUGUAUAGGGCAAUAGGACAUCUUCAAACUCUAGCUAUUUGUACUGAUGCAUGCAAAGGGUUGGAGAAUGCAGUUAAAAUUGUGUUUCCUCGAGCUGAGCAAAGGGAAUGCUUUAGGCAUCUAAUGGCAAACUUCAAAAAGAAAUUUCACGGAGAUGUUUUUGGUCGCAUGUGGCCAGCAGCCAAGGCUUAUCGUCUGGAAACAUUUAAUUAUCAUAUGGGCAAGAUAUUUGAAGCUGAACCUGCAGUGAGUACCUACUUAUGUACCUAUCAUAACUUAAAGUGGAUGAGAUGUGACUUCAACACAGAAAUAAAAUGUGAUUACAUUCACAACAAUCUAGCUGAGUGCUUCAAUAGCUGGAUCAAAGGAACAAAGGAGCUGCCCAUGGAUGAGCUAGCCGAUGCAAUAAGAGAGAAAAUUAUGAUACUUGUUUAUAGAAGGAGAAGGAUUGGGAAAAUGCUCCAGGGAGAGAUAUUGCCUGCUAUCAUUCAACAAAUAAAUAAUAGAACUAGGCAACUUGACCAUUUGGUUGUUGGAAGAUCAACCGGAGAAAGUUGUGAGGUCAAGGACACUAGCAAGAAUAAUCUUAGGCAUGUUAUGAAGAUAGGCAGCCGUGAGUGCACCUGCCUAGAAUGGCAACACACUGGAAAGCCAUGUGAGCAUGCACUUGCAUUCCUUAUAGAGACGGCAGAUGUGAACUUUCAACCAUAUGUACAUGAGUACUACUCCGUGAGUAGGUUUCGGGCUGCCUAUGCUGGAGAGAUUGAACCAAUCACGGACAAGUCUCAAUGGCCUCAUGUUAAUCUAGAUUUUGAGAUGGUGCCACCGGAUUUAAAGAGCUCCGUUGGGAGACGGAGGAAGCAGAGAAUCAAAAGUUGCCUUGAAGACGGUGGUGGCAGCAAACGGAAGAAAAAAGAUGAUAAUGGCAAAACAAAUGACCAAGAAGGAGGUGACAAAGAGAAGGAAAAGGAAAAGAAGAGAUUUGGCAGCAGAAAUAGGUGCAAAGAAUGUGGGAUAUUGGGGCACAGGAAAGCAACUUGCAAAAAAAAUGAAGCUAAAGAGAGGUAACCCAUGCACUAGUAUCUCCUUUAUAUUAGUAUCAAAUUAGUACUAUUAUACCAUUUCUAACAUCCGGUG